rnacentral:lncRNA from 1 species
AAAGGAUUGAAAACAAGCAUGAAUUCACAGAUUCGGGAGGUAACGGAAGUCCUGGGAACCAACCUGUCUCGUCAGGCAGCUCUGUUAACCACUCCACCCUCAGCAGAGUGACCAGAUACACGGAGACCUCGACCUGGGUGUUACAAGUGGAUUACCUCUUUGUUCUGCUACUGAAUCAUUGUAAAUACUUCGGGCAAGUAAAUUAACCUGCUGAGUUUAUUAUCUCAUGAAUAUACAAGUAAAGACAGUGAACUAAACCAGGAACUCCAGAGGAGACCUAAGGUUUGAGAAAGAAGAAUGAGUAUGCAUUCAGUUCCAUGCAGACGCAACACCGUAAUUCUAAUGCAUUUGACCAUUUCAACUUCACAGUCACACAGUAAGAAUCCACAAAUCCCAGAAUCUCUUAGGUGGUUCCUGCGUCCACCAACCUUGAGAUGUAAUGGGCCAGCAAUGGUCUUUUGCUCAGAGACAGAAUCUCACUACAUUGCCCAGGCUGGUCUCAAAC